GACGAACGCUGGCGGCGUGCUUAACACAUGCAAGUCGAACGAUGAACCCGGAGCUUGCUCCGGCGGAUUAGUGGCGAACGGGUGAGUAACACGUGAGUAACCUGCCCUUGACUCUGGGAUAACUGCUAGAAAUGGUAGCUAAUACCGGAUACGACCCUCGGUGGCAUCACCAGGGGGUGGAAAGAAUUUCGGUCAAGGAUGGACUCGCGGCCGAUCAGCUAGGUGGUGAGGUAACGGCUCACCAAGGCGACGACGAGUAGCCGGCCUGAGAGGAUGACCGGACAGACUGGGACUGAGACACGGCCCAGACUCCGACGGUAGGCAGCAGUGGGGAAUAUUGCACAAUGGGCGCAAGCCUGAUGCAGCAACGCCGCGUGAGGGAUGACGGCCGUCGGGUUGUAAACCUCUUUUAGUAGGGAAGAAGCGAAAGUGACGGUACCUGCAGAAAAAGCACCGGCUAACUACGUGCCAGCCGCCGCAGUAA
rnacentral:rRNA from 1 species